CCUACGGGUGGCAGCAGUGGGGAAUAUUGCACAAUGGGGGAAACCCUGAUGCAGCGACGCCGCGUGAGUGAUGAAGUAUUUCGGUAUGUAAAGCUCUAUCAGCAGGGAAGCAAAUGACGGUACCUGACUAAGAAGCCCCGGCUAACUACGUGCCAGCAGCCGCGGUAAUACGUAGGGGGCAAGCGUUAUCCGGAUUUACUGGGGGUAAAGGGGGCGUAGACGGAAUAGCAAGGCAGAUGUGAAAGCCCGGGGCUCAACGCCGGGAGUGCAUUGGAAACUGGGCUUCUAGAGUGUCGGAGAGGCAGGCGGAAUUCCUAGUGUAGCGGUGAAAUGCGUAGAUAUUAGGAGGAACACCAGUGGCGAAGGCGGCAUGCUGGACGAUGACUGACGUUGAGGCUCGAAAGCGUGGGGAGCAAACAGGAUUAGAUACCCGUGUAGUC
rnacentral:rRNA from 1 species